rnacentral:lncRNA from 1 species
UAGCUGUGAAGCAAUUCAAAACACAGUAACAUCUAAAAAUCAAAAUCCAGCACACAUUUGAAUUUCCGAAGCUGCAAAAAAGGCCAAAGGCUUUGUCUUGGUCUGCAAGAAUGCGCAGAGCUUGCUCAGUCCAGCACCAACACCAGCUGCUCUAAAAACGUUCUUCUGUGCUCACCUUCUCGUCCCCAGUCUCGACACGUUUUCUCUUCCAACUCGCUUGCAGGUUCCCAAAACUUGAAUCCCCUGAAUUCCAUAAAACCGACGAGAGAAAAAAUAUUUAUUGCUUUCAACAAACUCAUAUGUAAGCUCCGAUUAAGCCUCUUAAAUAUGGCAGAAACAAUUUAUUCCCUCUGCUAGUUAUUUAGUGGUUAAUUAGUUCGU